rnacentral:rRNA from 1 species
UACGAAGGGUGCGAGCGUUAUUCGGAAUUACUGGGCGUAAAGAGCGUGCAGGCGGCUCUAUAAGUCAAUCGUUAAAGAGCUCGGCUUAACCGGGCAAAGGCGAGUGAAACUGUAGAGCUAGAGUGCGGGAGAGAAAGGUAGAAUUCUCGGAGUAGCGGUAAAAUGCGUAGAUCUCGAGAGGAAUACCGGUUGCGAAGGCGGCCUUUUGGCCCGUAACUGACGCUAAAGCGCGAAAGCGUGGGGAGCAAACAGG